CUACGGGACGCUCCAGGGAAUAUUGCACAAUGGAGGAAACUCUGAUGCAGCAACGCCGCGUGGAGGAUGACACAUUUCGGUGCGUAAACUCCUUUUAUUAGGGAAGAUAAUGACGGUACCUAAUGAAUAAGCACCGGCCAACUCCGUGCCAGCAGCCGCGGUAAUACGGAGGGUGCAAGCGUUACUCGGAAUCACUGGGCGUAAAGCGCGCGCAGGCGGCCUUUUAAGUUGGAUGUGAAAGCCUACGGCUCAACCGUAGAACUGCGUCCAAAACUAUUGGGCUAGAGUGUGGGAGAGGAAGAUGGAAUUAGUUGUGUAGGGGUAAAAUCCGUAGAGAUAACUAGGAAUACCAAAAGCGAAGGCAAUCUUCUGGAACACUACUGACGCUGAGGCGCGAAAGCGUGGGGAGCAAACAGGAUUAGAUACCCUUGUAGUC
rnacentral:rRNA from 1 species